CAGUAGCCACGGGAAUACGGAGGGGGCUAGCGUUGUUCGGAAUUACUGGGCGUAAAGCGCACGUAGGCUGCUUUGUAAGUCAGAGGUGAAAGCCCGGGGCUCAACCCCGGAUGUGCCUUUGAGACUGCAGAGCUAGAAUCACGGAGAGGUGAGUGGAAUUCCGAGUGUAGAGGUGAAAUUCGUAGAUAUUCGGAAGAACACCAGUGGCGAAGGCGGCUCACUGGACGCGUAUUGACGCUGAGGUGCGAAAGCGUGGGGAGCAAACAGGAUUAGAUACCCCCGUAGUCCCUGUCUCUUAUAC
rnacentral:rRNA from 1 species